UAAUACGGAGGGUGCAAGCGUUAAUCGGAAUUACUGGGCGUAAAGCGCACGCAGGCGGUUUGUUAAGUCAGAUGUGAAAUCCCCGCGCUUAACGUGGGAACUGCAUUUGAAACUGGCAAGCUAGAGUCUUGUAGAGGGGGGUAGAAUUCCAGGUGUAGCGGUGAAAUGCGUAGAGAUCUGGAGGAGUACCGGUGGCGAAGGCGGCCCCCUGGACAAAGACUGACGCUCAGGUGCGAAAGCGUGGGGAGCAAACAGGAUUAGAUACCCUGGUAGUCCACGCUGUAAACGAUGUCGACUUGGAGGUUGUGCCCUUGAGGCGUGGCUUCCGGAGCUAACGCGUUAAGUCGACCGCCUGGGGAGUACGGCCGCAAGGUUAAAACUCAAAUGAAUUGACGGGGGCCCGCACAAGCGGUGGAGCAUGUGGUUUAAUUCGAUGCAACGCGAAGAACCUUACCUACUCUUGACAUCCACGGAAUUCGCCAGAGAUGGCUUAGUGCCUUCGGGAACCGUGAGACAGGUGCUGCAUGGCUGUCGUCAGCUCGUGUUGUGAAAUGUUGGGUUAAGUCCCGCAACGAGCGCAACCCUUAUCCUUUGUUGCCAGCACGUAAUGGUGGGAACUCAAAGGAGACUGCCGGUGAUAAACCGGAGGAAGGUGGGGAUGACGUCAAGUCAUCAUGGCCCUUACGAGUAGGGCUACACACGUGCUACAAUGGCAUAUACAAAGAGAAGCGAACUCGCGAGAGCAAGCGGACCUCAUAAAGUAUGUCGUAGCCCGGAUUGGAGUCUGCAACUCGACUCCAUGAAGUCGGAAUCGCUAGUAAUCGUAGAUCAGAAUGCUACGGUGAAUACGUUCCCGGGCCUUGUACACACCGCCCGUCACACCAUGGGAGUGGGUUGCAAAAGAAGUAGGUAGCUUAACCUUCGGGAGGGCGCUUACCACUUUGUGAU
rnacentral:rRNA from 1 species